rnacentral:rRNA from 1 species
GACGAACGCUGGCGGCGUGCUUAACACAUGCAAGUCGAGCGGUAAGGCCCUUUCGGGGGUACACGAGCGGCGAACGGGUGAGUAACACGUGGGUGACCUGCCCUCAGCUCUGGGAUAAGCCUGGGAAACCGGGUCUAAUACUGGAUAUGACUCCAUGACGCAUGUUGUGGGGUGGAAAGCCUUGUGCGGCUGAGGAUGGGCCCGCGGCCUAUCAGCUUGUUGGUGGGGUGANGGCCUACCAAGGCGACGACGGGUAGCCGGCCUGAGAGGGCGACCGGCCACACUGGGACUGAGACACGGCCCAGACUCCUACGGGAGGCAGCAGUGGGGUAUCUUGCGCAAUGGGCGAAAGCCUGACGCAGCGACGCCGCGUGAGGGAUGACGGCCUGGUUGUAA